AGUGUGACCCUGCACAGUAUUCUUGAGUAAAUGGAGAAGGCUAAGAGGAGAUUCGGGGAUUGUCAAGGAUCCCAAAUCAAAGUAGGUGAAACCCCAGCAGAUUUUGAGACCUGAAAACUACAGCUUUCCCAAAGAUACCACUUCUUACAAUGAACAAGGAGAUAACAACUGUUUGCCACCAACCUAUAUAAGGGCACUUUUCCCCUUUGAAGUUGCAGUUCUCAGGUUUGCUGUCCUCGUGAAGAUCUGUGAAGUCAGCAAUGCCUCACUUGUGUCGUUUGAUGCACCCGCGCUUGUCAUCUUGCACUUGUGUUGUUUGAUGCACCCAGGC